GACAAUGUGGCUGAGUGGUCAAGGUGACAGACUAGUAAUCUGUUACAAUUUCUGUCCGCAGAUUCGAGUCCUGCCGUUGUCG